rnacentral:rRNA from 1 species
UGGGGAAUAUUGGACAAUGGGCGAAAGCCUGAUCCAGCCAUGCCGCGUGAGUGAUGAAGGCCUUAGGGUUGUAAAGCUCUUUCACCGAUGAAGAUAAUGACGGUAGUCGGAGAAGAAGCCCCGGCUAACUUCGUGCCAGCAGCCGCGGUAAUACGAAGGGGGCUAGCGUUGUUCGGAAUCACUGGGCGUAAAGCGCACGUAGGCGGAUUGUUAAGUGAGGGGUGAAAGCCCAGGGCUCAACCCUGGAACUGCCUUUCAUACUGGCAAUCUCGAGUUCGAGAGAGGUAAGUGGAAUUCCGAGUGUAGAGGUGAAAUGCGUAGAUAUUCGGAGGAACACCAGUGGCGAAGGCGGCUUACUGGAUCGAUACUGACGCUGAGGUGCGAAAGCGUGGGGAGCAAACA